rnacentral:rRNA from 1 species
CACGUAGGGCGCGAGCGUUGUCCGGAAUUAUUGGGCGUAAAGAGCUCGUAGGCGGCCUGUUGCGUCCGCUGUGAAAGCCCGGGGCUUAACCCCGGGUCGGCAGUGGAUACGGGCAGGCUAGAGGUAGGUAGGGGAGAAUGGAAUUCCCGGUGUAGCGGUGAAAUGCGCAGAUAUCGGGGAGGAACACCGGUGGCGAAGGCGGGUCUCUGGGCCGUAACUGACGCUGAGGAGCGAAAGCGUGGGGA